AAAAACAUUAAACUUCUUCUACCCCGUUGGUUUCUUCUCUACACGCCGCCGUGAUUACCCUGGUCGGAUUCUCUUUGCGGCAUCAUCACCUGAACACAAGCAAACCCAGAUUCAAGCUUCUCUUACAGCAUCUCUUACUUCUUCGCCGCAGCUCUUCCAUGUCCACCUCGGUAUGUGCUUUGCAAUUUGUCUCGUCGCCGAGACGAUUGAUGUAAAGAAAGACUUGAAAUUUUGUACCUUGUUUUACGGCAACCGAUAAUCUCAAGGACAUGUUGUAGUUUCAGAGGUUCUUCAUGGUUGGUAUGGUUUCUGAAUGGCGAUAGAGCAGUGUUCUAAUGACAUGUUUUGGUCUCAUUCCAAGCCUUGGUUUCUCCUGACUACCGCUAGUGGCGUGGUUGUGUGAGAGAAAUCUGGUUCUUCCUUGUACAGAAACCCCUACCAGAAAGUUUAACAUUUGCUCUUUGUAUUUUACUGAGAUGAAUGAGGUUUUAAAGGAUUUCUCUGCCUCAGAUAUAUCUUUGUUCUUUGCAAUAAAAACAUUUUUACA